GGAGGUAUAGCUCAGUGGUAGAGUGCAUGCCUAGCAUGCACAGGAUCCUGGGGUCAAUCCCCAGUAGCUCCA
rnacentral:tRNA from 1 species